rnacentral:rRNA from 1 species
GGCUACUGCUAUCGGGGUUCGAUUAAGCCAUGCGAGUUAAAUGUUCUUCGUGAACAUAGCGAACUGCUCAGUAACACGUGGAUAACCUACCCUUAGGACCGGAAUAACCCCGGGAAACUGGGGAUAAUACCGGAUAAGCCAUAGACGCUGGAAUGCCCUAUGGUUCAAAGCUCCGGCGCCUAAGGAUGGAUCUGCGGUCUAUCAGGUUGUAGUGGGUGUAACGUACCUACUAGCCGACGACGGAUACGGGUUGUGAGAGCAAGAGCCCGGAGAUGGAUUCUGAGACACGAAUCCAGGCCCUACGGGGUGCAGCAGGCGCGAACACUUUACAAUGCGGGAAACCGCGAUAAGGGAACCCCGAGUGCCAGCAUCAAAUGUUGGCUGUCCAGAUGGUUAAAAAUCAUUUGUUAGCAAGGGCCGGGCAAGACCGGUGCCAGCCGCCGCGGUAACACCGGCGGCCCGAGUGGUAGCCGUUUUUAUUGGGUCUAAAGGGUCCGUAGCCGGCCUGAUAAGUCCUUUGGGAAAUCUGACAGCUUAACUGUCAGGCUUCUAAGGGAUACUGUCAGGCUUGGGACCGGAAGAGGUAAGGGGUACUCCAGGGGUAGGAGUGAAAUCUUGUAAUCCCUGGGGGACCAUCUGUGGCGAAGGCGCCUUACCAGAACGGGUCCGACGGUGAGGGACGAAAGCUAGGGGAGCAAACCGGAUUAGAUACCCGGGUAGUCCUAGCUGUAAACGAUGCUCGCUAGGUGUCAGACACGGUGCGACCGUGUUUGGUGCCGCAGGGAAGCCGUUAAGCGAGCCACCUGGGAAGUACGGUCGCAAGGCUGAAACUUAAAGGAAUUGGCGGGGGAGCACUACAACGGGUGGAGCCUGCGGUUU